rnacentral:lncRNA from 1 species
AGAAAAUAUUGCAAGUGAUAAGGAAACACAUCUUUGAAGAAAAUACUAUUUGAUUAAGUAUGCUGCUAUAAUAGCAAGCUUGAAUAUGUUUAACACAUUUAAGAAGGCUACUAAAAUAAUCUCAUUCCAUUAUUCAAGGAUGUAGAGGGAGUGGGAGAGAAAGUGUGUUUACAGCUUUUCCCUCAAUACAGUAAAUACCGAAUAUGAUUUUUUUCAAAAUUCAACAUUCUGCUAAGACACAUGUAUUGCAUCGUUUCCUAUUGUUACAUAAAAACUUAACAUUGAACUAAAAUUAAUAUCAUGUCUAAUGAAGGACUUAGAGCUAAGGGCUCUGACGCCUGCCAUGUGAAGAUGUAGUUGAAAAAACACAACGGGCUGAUGGGCAGGCGGAAAGGGACGGCUUGAGGUGUCCUCUGUGAUAUAACAAGGAUAGCAAAAUAUUAAAGAGAGGGUCUUUACAGUGCAUAUGCAGGUAUACACUGGAAAAUCCUUUCACCUUUGCCAUGUGGAAUCUUUCCAAAUAAAAUGCCAGGACAAUGUAAACAAGCCUGCUUUGGUGUCAUCCACACACCUAACAGCUAGUACUGCAGGAUAAACUAUUGCCUAAACCACUCAACAGCAUCAGCAAGACAGUGCCUCUCACGAUCACCCUUCAUGCUGACCGGCUUCCGUUGUUCCAUUACAUUUCCUGCGAUUCCGAGUUAAUUUCCAAGUUGUUACCUACAGAGGAUCACCGGAGCCUUGAUAAUACGUCUGACAUGCUGAAGGCUGAGAUACCAUUUGAUGACACCAGGGAGGUACAAAGGGACAGGGCUGCAAAGGGCACCUGCUGUGAC